UAUUAUUGACGGCGGACGGGCAACUUGAACCCCAACCCUUUGCCUUUAGCCUGCAUUCACCUGCAGCUUUGCACCGUCCGUAGCCACAACUACUAACCUCAAUGACAAAUUGCCCGCAUCUAGUCCACAUUGCCCGGCGCUUGGCGAUGUCCAAAACGCGUAGGAUGUUGCGUUGCAGCCAGCGCCUAAUGUACCAUUACAGUAGUAAUACUGCUCACAGUUCUACUAUUCCAUGCAGUACUACCCACUACUCUACCUCCAGCAAGUCCGUCCGGAUAGGAUGCGCCUCCGGGUUUUGGGGAGACACCUCCACAUCAGUGCCUCAGCUCAUCUAUGGCGGGAAGCUGGACUUCCUGGUGUUCGACUACCUUAGUGAGAUUACCAUGUCCCUCCUGACCGCCGCCAAGGCAAAGACGCCUACCAUGGGUUAUGCUCCAGACUUUGUGCAAGCAGCCAUCGCUCCAUUCAUCACUGACAUCCACAAGAGAGGUAUCCGGGUGGUGAGCAACGCUGGGGGUGUGAACCCCUUGGCAUGUGCUGGAGCUAUACAGGAAGUGAUUAAGAAGGCGGGGCUUGACCUGAAGGUUGCCGUGGUGACGGGCGAUGACCUCAUGACUCAGAAAGGCAGUCUGUCUGAGGUGAAGAUAGCGGAUGGUAGUGGUAAUCAAAGGUUACCACGGACCCUUCACAGUAUGAAUGCAUACCUGGGGGCGGUGUCUAUCCAGAGGAGUCUGGACCGGGGGGCUGACAUCGUGGUGACGGGCCGCUGUGUGGACUCAGCGGUGGCCCUGGGACCCCUGAUGCACUCGUUCGGCUGGAAGACAGAGAGCUAUGACCUGCUGGCUGCCGGAAGUCUUGCAGGACAUCUGAUAGAGUGUGGAGCCCAGAGCACUGGAGGAAUAUUCACCGACUGGCACACGGUCCCUGACUGGGACCGGAUGGGUUUCCCGAUAGUGGAGUGCUCCGUGGACGGCUCCUUCGUCCUCUCCAAGCCCCCCGGCACCGGGGGGCUGGUCUCCUUCGGUACGGUGGCUGAGCAGCUGGUGUACGAGAUCGCAGACCCCCGCCGCUACCUCCUGCCCGACGUCACCUGUGACUUCAGCCAGGUGGUCGUCACGGAGAUACCAGGUGUGGAGGGAGGAGCAGUCAGUGUGUCUGGUGCCAAAGGUUACGCCCCGUCAUGUGACUACAAGGUGUGUGCUACCUAUAUGGAUGGUUUCAGGGCGACCGCCGUGUGUCCGGUGGGAGGACCUCGGUCUGUGGAGAAGGCCAGAAGAACGGCCCAGAGCCUCAUUACCCGGGCGAAGAGGCUGUUCACACAGUUGGGGUUCGAAGAUUUCAGCUCCGUGAACAUUCAGGUCCUGGGAGCUGAGGACACGUACGGAGCCAACGCUGCUGGCCCGGGAUCCAGGGAGUCUGUGUUGUGGAUGUCUGUACACCACAAACAGAAAAAGGCUCUGGAGUUCUUUGCCAGAGAGAUCGCAUCUGCGGGUACUGGCAUGGCCCCCGGACUGAUGGGAAUCGUUGGCGGACGUCCGAGAGUGUCCCCUGUUCUGAAGCCGUUCUUCUUCAUGCUUCCCAAGUCCCUGCUCCAGGUGGAGUUGCACAUUGGUGGAGAGCUAGUUGAGACACUGUCUCAGGGGGCGGAGCCAGAGUCAGUGCAGCAGGAAGCCCGGCCCACUCAGGAAGAGGAAACUACUGAUGCUGAGCUGCCCAGCGGGACCCACAGCUACAGGAUAGAGGAGCUGGCAUACACCCGCAGUGGAGACAAGGGAGACUCGGCCAAUAUAGGAGUGAUUGCGCGUCACCCGGCCUUCUACCCCUACCUGAAGGAACACCUGACUGCUUCUGUGGUGGAGGACUACUUCUCUCACCUCAUACAGCCCGGCACACCCAACGCUGUCUCCCGGCAUCCUUCACCAUGAUGGCCCCCUAACCCCCAACCUGUCUCUGAAAGCACCGUACACUCUUCCCGGGAUCCAGGGCCUGAACUUCGUUCUUCAGAACUGUCUGGGGGGGGGAGGGGUGGCCUCACUCCGCAGCGACCCCCAGGGGAAGGCCUAUGGGCAGAUGCUGCUGGACUUGAAGCUCACCGGACUCCCAGACCUCAUGGGUCUGGUCGACUGAGAAAGAGACAUAGAGACCCAGUGAGAGAGAAAGAGAGAGAACACUCAUGAAAUCGACAAAACAACAUUUAAUACAAAUUCUUGCACAAUUUAAAUACAAGUUUGAUCGCGUGAAUUACCCCAUAAACAAAACAAAUGCUCUUUAUUUAUUUUUGUAUGAUUAGAGUUGAUUAGAGACGGUUUGUUGCGUUCGUGUCACCAAGACCAAGUUAGCGUGUGUUUUGCAUGCCAACCAAUCAGAGCAUUAGCUGGACCUUGUCUGCUGUUGUCAGAAAGCCAGUCAAGGCUUGACUCCUCGAAUCCCGGCCCGGGGGCUCCACAUAAGGCCCAAAAGCACACACGCUAGUUGUGCCUUUUUAAAAUGUGAACAUGGAUACGUUGGGGGCCCCUGACGUCUACCCAGGGGCCCCGUGGAAUGUGAGGGGCUCCCGUCUGGAAGUCUGUUUCCUUGUUUAUCCAUAAUUGCGACCAGACCAAACCAAGACCGAGCCAGAAUUCCUGCUCCUGGGUUUGGGUGGGUGGGGGCCACGGUCGCCCGUCGCCAUGGAAACACAUUAGUACAGCACUUGCCAACGCUUUAUGACACACUGCAUACAGCGUUUACUUGCUAUUUCUCCGUAGAUAUAUAGCAUUAGUAGAAGUAUUACUCAUGAAAUGAGGGGCUUAACUUGCUGUGUCCGGCUCGAUGUAGAGCCUACGACGACUAAAAAGGUCUGGCUACCCAGUGCUAACCCUGUCUAGCUUUAUUUAGAGCUAACUGGCUAUGGAUAACUAGCUGUAGUUCUAACUACCUCCAGCUAAAUGGGUGCUUCCUAUAGAGCAAACUGCCUACGGAUAACUAGCUAUAGCUAUUUCCAGCUACAUGUCAAGCUAACAGUUAGCAACCAAACGGAGACCAUCCAUCAUGAGCUAGCAUCUCCUGGUGUGUCUGCGGGGGGCGGGGGGGACAUUACCUCAUUGGGGUCAGUCUGGCUGAUCCCUGGCCCCUAUUCUGGGGGCCACAGGAAGGAAAAAAUGAAAUUGAGCGUCAAAUUUUUAGCCGUUUAAAUGUGUAGAAAAGUAAAAAAAAGUAUUGGCAACGUAUAAUAAACGUUGUCUUUUGUAACAUAACCGCAUUAUACGAUAAGACCUUAGUAAGACAAAACUAUGGUAGCAGGUUAGUAAUUUAACCAUUAAGCGAUUGAUUUAGAAACCAUACUACCUGAUAGUUGUAUGGUAUUGUGACGCCGCCAAAUAACAUUUUAUAGUGAUUUUGUAAAUUCUGGAUAAUAAAGAUAUUUUCUUGGAUCGAGAA